AUUGCAGCCCCUACAGGAGGGCAAUUAGGGUGGAGGGCAAGUGCACUGUAGUGCACACGCACUGAAACGUGUGCAUUUAGUUUGAAACUUCUUAGCAGUGACCUAAUCUAAAAAGGGGCUACAGGAAGGCUGAAGAAGGACUUUAUAUGGGGACACGUACUGAAAGAGCUAGGAGUAAUGACUUUAAACUGAAAGAGGGUAGAUUCAGAUUAGAUGUAAGGAAGAAGUUUUUCACUGUGAGGGUCAUGAGGCACCAGAAUAGGUUUCCCAGAGAGGCUGUGGACAUCUCAUGCUCUGAAGUGUUUAAGGCCAGAUUGGUAGGACUUUUGAGCAAUCUGUUCUAGUGAAAGGCAUACACAACUUGCUGUUGAACGGGGACUGACACACAUAACUUACUGUAAGACUGGUGCUAUCACCAGUUAAGCAUGCUGCAACGAUGGCAACCGAGGAACUGUGACCAUGUAUGAGACUGGAAAAGGUAUAAUGCCUCAAAAGUAAUAGGGAAGUUUGGAGCUCCCUCACCAGUUAAGCCUUUCAGAAUCAGCAUCUGGAUCUGCAGUGGGAUCCAUAAAAGAACCACCUCCUCUGCAAAACCAGAUCAAAACACUAUCAUCAAAGCAGAACAGGAUUAGCAGAGACAUGAUUACUUUUCAAUUUCUUAUGUGAGAAAGUCUCAUCUAACAGCAUGAACACAGUCCUGGAAUAUAAAUAUAGAGAGCAAACAGACCUGAACCAAGUCUUCCUCUCUGAUGGUUAAAAAAGCCCCACAUGAGCAAAAUGCAAUAAUAAAUGAACUGACUGGCAUAAAUCUCUGCAACAGUGCAGAUCAAAUAGUGCCUGUGAGAAGUAAUCAUUAAUAAAGAAUCUCAGCAGCAGAUGCCAAAGAAUGAUGAAAAUCUUCAGAAAAUUUCAGGUGAGCAAUAAAACAAGUUACUGUUACAAGAAUAACAGCUUUCCACAUGAAAGCAAAAUGUAUCUAUUCACUGAAGAUCUCGUAAUGUAUGUUUCUCCACAGUGCCAGUAUUGCUACACCGAGAGAGGAAAGGUAUCUUUUAAAUGAACUAUUGCAGUAAGAUCUGACAGCCUUUGGUGACUUGGGAAAUCAACACUGGGAAUCUUUAGUCAAGUCCUGCAAAAUAGGUCUAGAAGUUCAAAUAAUAUAUGGUCAAAGCUGUCAAAAGGAAAAUUACUCUGGCAGUAAAGAAUAAAUAAAUAAAGCCCCAAAGUGAUCCCCUCUUUCUUCCAUAAUUGCUUCUUGUUACAGACACGGCCGCUGAGUGCUCAGAGGAGAUUCCCACAAGAUAAGCAAUAGAGGGUAUCUUCCUCUCUAUAAAUUGUUCCAUGAAGUAAAUUUUACACAGAGAAGAUUUAUAAACUGAAAGUGCUCAAAAGCUUUUGCUGUAUGAAGCUCAGUGGAAAUAAAGUUCUACUUUAAAAUUCUACAAAAGAGCAACAAAGGAAAGCGCCUAAUGCCAAAGUUGAAGAAGGAGUCACUUUCUCUCAACAUCUAUACUAAUGUAUUAUUUAUAUUUGAAUCUCAAGUGCCCUUUUAUUUACAAGAAACUCAGUUCUUUGUAAAGGACUAUCAUUUGUGCUAUACAAAGCUUUCAUUCCCAUCUAAAUGCAUCAUAAUAAUAAGCCACAAGUUACACACAGGCUUUUCACCUUGGAGGCAAGCUAAGGCCAUUGACAGCAAUAAUGUGCUUUUGCAUAGCCUGACAUUUUUCCUGCUUUAGCUGUGGUGCUCACGUUGCUUCAGGUGACCAUGUCUCUAUCAAGAAGACUGUAAUUCUCACUUUGUUCUACA